rnacentral:pre_miRNA from 1 species
AAAAAGACAAAUCUUGGGUUUCCGUGUUCAACUUUGACUGUCCGUCUUAUAUGAAUUUUUUUUAUAAUUCGUAUUUUCAUUGUUGUUAGAUGAUAAAACAUGAUUAAUAUUUUAUGCGUGACUUGUCUUUUUAAUUUUUUUUCAUAAUUUUUCCAAAUAAGACGGACGGUCAAACGUUGGACACGGAAACC